rnacentral:rRNA from 1 species
UACGUAGGGUCCGAGCGUUGUCCGGAAUUAUUGGGCGUAAAGGGCUCGUAGGCGGUUCGCCACGUCGGGAGUGAAAACUCGGAGCUUAACUCCGAGCCUGCUUCCGAUACGGGCAGGCUAGAGGUAGGCAGGGGAGAGCGGAACUCCUGGUGUAGCGGUGGAAUGCGCAGAUAUCAGGAAGAACACCGGUGGCGAAGGCGGCGCUCUGGGCCUUACCUGACGCUGAGGAGCGAAAGCGUGGGUAGCGAACAGG